GAUGAACGCUGGCGGCGUGCCUAACACAUGCAAGUCGAGCGUGAACCCUGCGAAUGAAACUUCGGUCGAUUUUGCAGGGGGAAAGCGGCGGACGGGUGAGUAACGCGUAGGUAACCUGCCCCAUACUGAGGGAUAGCCUCGGGAAACCGGGAUUAAUACCUCAUAACACCGUAUAUUCGCAUGGAUGUGCGGUCAAAGAUUUAUCGGUAUGGGAUGGGCCUGCGUCUGAUUAGCUGGUUGGUGGGGUAACGGCCUACCAAGGCGACGAUCAGUAGCCGACCUGAGAGGGUGAUCGGCCACAUUGGAACUGAGACACGGUCCAGACUCCUACGGGAGGCAGCAGUGGGGAAUAUUGGGCAAUGGGCGCAAGCCUGACCCAGCAACGCCGCGUGAGGGAAGAAGGUCUUCGGAUUGUAAACCUCUGUCCUUGGGGACGAAAAAUGACGGUACCCAAGGAGGAAGCUCCGGCUAACUACGUG
rnacentral:rRNA from 1 species